CUCGGGCGUGCCUGGAGGGGGUUGUCCAAGCAACCCCGGUGGAUAGCAAAUCUAAGUGAUGCGCUAGUAGCUUCCACCCAUACAGGGGAAAAAACACUUCGUUUCGAACUCCUCUCGCCAUGGGAACUUGACUUUGUUAUUUCUUUGUUUGUCCGCAGCUUUCAAAUCCAAGACUUCGGAAUCUGAGUCCCGCAGUUCGCGCAUCUACUCGCCUGUACUUGGAGCAGGGAAGCUUUCUUAGAGAUGCAGUGGCCCUCAAAGUGACAGAAAUCCAGCCAGAUGAAGCUCCUGUGAGAGAAGGGUGUAUUGUCCAGGUCACGCUGAAGGAGGAGGUUCAUGGAGACUGUCCACAGCAGGGUGUGGCAUCUGGGAUCUGUGCUCUACAGGAUAUAGGUUGAGAAACUGGUUUCAUCUAAACCCUUCAUUUGAGAUACCAAGAUACCAGACUGUGAAGUCCCAAUGUCAAAGAUGUGAAUUCUCAGCGUCCUGCUCCUACUGCCAUGCCUGACUGCCACGAUGGAUUCUUAUUCCCCUGGAAUCACAAGUCAAAUAAAUGCUUUCUUCCAUAAGUUGCUUUUUGGUCACGGUGUUUUAUCACAGCAACUGAAAAGUAAAUGAUACACUAGGCAUGCCUUCAAAAGGUAAAUCUUGUCCCCAGUCCCUAUGACCCUUCUCUGCUUCUUGGCUGCCAUGAGGUGAGCAGCCUUCUCCAG
rnacentral:lncRNA from 1 species